ensembl:lncRNA
GGAUAAACAAGGGGGUAUGUUUCUCCAAGUGCACACGCGUGAAAGCAAGGCAUUAUGGACCUGAGUGGAAUAGAGUUGGAGGGCGUUUUUAAGUAGUAUAUAGCGGUAUUCAAGGAUACACUGUUAGAAAGAACAGCGAUUGGGUAUCAUACCACAAAGGGAUAGGAAACACUGCGAGGGACGUUUGUACCGCUACUUUCUUGUUAGGUGAUCGGGUUUCUCCUCCGGCCCAUCAGCUGAAUAGGUGGGGCUUGAUCAAUG